UCAAGCGACUAAGUGCAUGUGGUGGAUGCCUUGGCGAUCACAGGCGAUGAAGGACGCGGCAGUCUGCGAAAAGCCCCGGGGAGCUGACAACGAGCUUUGAUCCGGGGAUCUCCGAAUGAGGGAACUCCAAGCUUUAGCUUGAUCCAUGCGUGAAUACAUAGCGCAUGGAGGCGAACGCGGCGAACUGAAACAUCUCAGUAGCUGCAGGAAAAGAAAUCAACCGAGAUUCCGGAAGUAGCGGCGAGCGAAACCGGAACAGCCUGAAUUCGAUAUUGAGAAGAACACUGGAAGAGUCUGGAAAGGCUCGCCAUAGUGGGUGAUAGCCCCGUACGGGACGUUCAUCUCAAGGUACUGAGGAUUCGAAAAGUAGGUCGGGGCACGUGAAACCCUGGCUGAACAUGGGGGGACCAUCCUCCAAGGCUAAAUACUCGUGAUCGACCGAUAGCGUACUAGUACUGUGAAGGAAAGGUUAAAAGAACCCCGGGAGGGGAGUGAAAUAGAUUCUGAAACCGCAUGCAUACAAACAGUAGGAGCCCUUCGGGGUGACUGCGUACCUUUUGCAUAAUGGGUCAGCGACUUAUGUUAUGUGGCAAGCCUAACCGAUUAGGGGAGGCGCAGCGAAAGCGAGUCCGAACAGGGCGGUUCAGUCGCAUGGCAUAGACCCGAAACCAGAUGAGCUAACCAUGGCCAGGCUGAAGGUGUGGUAACACACACUGGAGGGCCGAACCUACUGGUGUUGCAAAACCAGAGGAUGAGCUGUGGUUAGGGGUGAAAGGCUUAACAAAUCUGGAGAUAGCUGGUUCUCCCCGAAAACUAUUGAGGUAGUGCCUUGCGCAUGAGCUUCUGGGGGUAGAGCACUGUUAUAGCUAGGGGGACAUGGCGUCUUACCAAACUAUGGCAAACUCCGAAUACCAGAAAGCUUCGCGCAGGAGACAGAGCACCGGGUGCUAACGUCCGGACUCAAAAGGGAAUCAACCCAGACCGCCAGCUAAGGUCCCUAAUAUCAGCUAAGUGGAAAACGAAGUGGAAAGGCUAAAACAGUCAGGAAGUUGGCUUAGAAGCAGCCAUCCUUCAAAGAAAGCGUAAUAGCUCACUGAUCGAGUCCUUCCGCGCGGAAGAUGUAACGGGGCUAAGUUGAUAACCGAAGCUGCGGAUUCAUACUUUGAGUAUGAGUGGUAGGGGAGCGUUCUGUAAGCCUGUGAAGGUGGAUCGUAAGGUCUGCUGGAGGUAUCAGAAGUGCGAAUGCUGACAUGAGUAACGAUAAAGCGGGUGAAAAGCCCGCUCGCCGCAAACCCAAGGUUUCCUGCUCUACGUUAAUCGGAGCAGGGUGAGUCGGUUCCUAAGGCCAGGCUGAGAAGCGUAGCUGAUGGAAAUCAGGUUAAUAUUCCUGAACCGGCGUUGAAUGCGAUGGGGUGACGGAGCAGCCAGAGUGGACCGGGUGUUGGAUGUCCCGGCUUCCGAGCGAUGGGUGCCUGCAGGCAAAUCCGCAGGCGUAUACCCAGGACGAAGGAUCGGGCCUUCUUUUGAAGGCGAAGCCACUGGAAGCGCUUCCAGGAAAAACCUCUAAGCUUCAGUUCAACGGCGACCGUACCGUAAACCGACACAGGUGGGUGAGCUGAAUAUGCUCAGGCGCUUGAGAGAACUCGGGAGAAGGAACUCGGCAAAUUGACACCGUAACUUCGGAAGAAGGUGUGCCUUUGUAGCUUGACGGGAGAGAAACCCGGAGGGCGAAGAGGUCUCAGAGAAUCGGUGGCUGUAACUGUUUACUAAAAACACAGCGCUCUGCAAAGAUGAAAGUCGACGUAUAGGGCGUGAUGCCUGCCCGGUGCUGGAAGAUUAAUUGAUGGGGUGCAAGCUCCUGAUCGAAGUCCCAGUAAACGGCGGCCGUAACUAUAACGGUCCUAAGGUAGCGAAAUUCCUUGUC
rnacentral:rRNA from 1 species